rnacentral:lncRNA from 1 species
AGAACAACAUGAUGAUUCUGCUCUGAGGGAUUCUAGAACAACAUGAUGAUUCUGCUCUGAGGGAUUCUAGAACAACAUGAUGAUUCUGCUCUGAGGGAUUCUAGAACAACAUGAUGAUUCUGCUCUGAGGGAUUCUAGAACAUGAUGAUUCUGCUCUGAGGGAUUCUAGAACAACAUGAUGAUUCUGCUCUGAGGGAUUCUAGAACAACAUGAUGAUUCUGCUCUGAGGGAUUCUAGAACAUGAUGAUUCUGCUCUGAGGGAUUCUAGAACAACAUGAUGAUUCUGCUCUGAGGGAUUCUAGAACAACAUGAUGAUUCUGCUCUGAGGGAUUCUAGAACAACAUGAUGAUUCUGCUCUGAGGGAUUCUAGAACAACAUGCUGAUUCUGCUCUGAGGGAUUCUAGAACAUGAUGAUUCUGCUCUGAGGGAUUCUAGAACAUGAUGCUGAUUCUGCUCUGAGGGAUUCUAGAACAACAGGGAAUUCUGUUUCCUUCCUGUUGAUGUACUGUCAGAUGGAAACACUCUAACCCAACAUGUAGAUUCUACUCUGUGAAUGACGAGGUUUGUGGCACAGAUCAUUAUCAUGAAAUAACAGACAACAGUUCACAGUAAACACAGACUAUCAUUGUGCACAACCCUAUACAACCCUAUUACAUAGCAUCAGCAAGGUACAUAAAACACUGACACCAUCCCUUUAAGGCCGAUAGAUAGGUCAUCCCUUUAAGACCUACACACAGUUCACCCCGUAAAAGACAGACAAUAAAGGUCAACCCUGUAAGACCGACAGACAGGUCAUCCCUUUAAGACUGACGGGCAGGUCAUCCCUUUAUGACCGACAGACAGGUCAUCCCUUUAAGACCGACAGACAGGUCAUCCCUUUAAGACUGACGGGCAGGUCAUCCCUUUAAGACCGACAGACAGGUCAUCCCUUUAAGACCGACAGACAGGUCAUCCCUUUAAGACCGACAGACAGGUCAUCCCUUUAAGACCGACGGGCAGGUCAUCCCUUUAUGACCGACGGGCAGGUCAUCCCUUUAAGACCGACGGGCAGGUCAUCCCUUUAAGACCGACAGACAGGUCAUCCCUUUUAAGACCUCAAAUAUACAGAUGUACUGUAUAUUUGAAAAACGAGUUAAAAAAUGAUUAUUUACAAAAAUACUUUGCUGUGUAAACUUUUCAUUUUCAUUCCAACCAAAGGUUAGAGUUAGGUACUCUCUACCCCUACCCCUCUAUCCCCCUGUCUACCC